GUGCAUUCACUGUUAAACAAUUUUGAAAUGGCUGCCGCUUAGUGGCAAUUGGGGGAAGGGUGACAUCCGCUAUUGCUUGCAAUGGCAAUUCUAGUUAUUAUUUUUCUUCUUGCAACAAAUUUUGUCCAGGUGAUUUCUCGAAAUCCAAUGGACCAAUGUUGAUGGAACUCUACUAUAGUAAGGACCCCCAUGUGCAGAGUUGCAGGAAGCAUGGAAUGGUUCAAGAUGGCUACCGUUUCCAUGGAAACAGAACAAAUGUGAAAAAAUCCAGUUUUUUGUUUUGGUGAACUGUUUGGAUAUGCUUUAUCUCAGAAUCAUUAUAUUUUAAUACAAUGUAGGUGCCCACUAUAUACAGGUGUUGGAUGAUUUUGGUGAUCAUUGGAACUACUAUGUUGCCAUGGAAACUACACCAAAAAUUUCAAAAAUUCUCAAAAUGCUCCAAACUUCAUGAAACUUCACAGUAACGAUGAGCAACAUUGGAAGAUGUGGAAUUUGGCGUUGGAAUUUCCAAAAUAUCUGUUGUUACCUUGGAAACAAUGCAAAAAGGUCAAAACUUUGAAUUUUCACAGAACAUUCCAGAACAUCAAUGUUAAAUUUAUUCUAGAGACAUUAAAUGGUAUAUGAUUAUGGAGGGCAAAAAAUUGCAGCGGGGGUUUGACUUUGGAAUAUUCAAAAUGGCCGCCGUUACCAUGGAAACAGCAAAAAUAUGAAAAACUUCAAAAUGCUUCAAAUUUAAUGAAACUUAUAACAAAUGUUGCCUAGCUUAUGUAGACUUGACUUUUGAGUUUGGAAUUUUCAAAAUGGCCGCCGUUACCAUGGAAACAGCAAAAUUAUCCAAAAUUUCAAAAUGCUUCAAACUUAAUGAAACUUUGCAAAAAUGUUACUAGACAUCUGUAGAUGCACUUUGACUUUGGAAUUUUCAAAAUGGCUGCCGCUCACCUGGCAAUGGGGGAAGGGUGCCAUCCGUUAUUGCUAGCAAUUACAAAUCUAGUUUUUUUUCUUAUUUUUAUUCUUCCACACAUUUUGUCCACGCUAUUUCUCGGAAUUGGUCAGACCAAUGUUGAUGGAACUAUUCUAUAAUAUGAACCUCCAUGUGAAGUUGUGCAAGAGACAUUGGAAUGGUAAAAAAUGGCCGCCGUUACCAUGGAAACUGCAAAAAUGUAAAAAAAAAUUCAAAAUUCUAAAUCUUUUAUUAUAAGAGCCAACCUAAUGAAACUUUAUGUAAAUGUUGGCAGUGGUGCCCUGAGGUACCAACAGUACUUAGCUUCUGCAAAAUCUGUACCAUUGCCAUGGAAACUGGAGAAAAGUUUAACAUUGAACCUAUGGGAAAAAACAUCAAACCAGCCUUUUCUAAAGGAAUAUAAGAUCAAACUCAAAGAAACUUUAUGAAUAUAUAACAUGGCAUAAGUCGAUAUUGAAACUGUUGUUGGAAUUUUCCAAAUGGAUACCGUUACCAUGGAAACAGCAAAAAUGUCCAAAAAUCUCAAAAUGCUCCAAACUUAAUGAAACUCAUUAUAAAUGACCA
rnacentral:lncRNA from 1 species